rfam:Oryctolagus cuniculus chromosome 10, whole genome shotgun sequence.
UGUCUUGGAUCUCCAGCCCUGCUCUGCUCAACUCUUGGAGGAAACAUAGCAGAUUAAUAAUAAUAAUAAUAAAAAACACUUUUGAUAUUAGUGUUUAUGGGUUUUUGCGCUCUGGCAAGAGGAGCCCAAUAUAGAAGCUUAGGUAAUCAACCCCCAGCCUCUGCUCUGGAUUCUCCGUUUAU